rnacentral:piRNA from 1 species
UAUUCCUUUGCAUUGUGUUUC